CCUACGGGCGGCAGCAGUGAGGAAUAUUGGUCAAUGGACGAGAGUCUGAACCAGCCAAGUAGCGUGAAGGAUGACUGCCCUAUGGGUUGUAAACUUCUUUUAUAUGGGAAUAAAAUGUUCCACGUGUGGGAUUUUGUAUGUACCAUAUGAAUAAGGAUCGGCUAACUCCGUGCCAGCAGCCGCGGUAAUACGGAGGAUACGAGCGUUAUCCGGAUUUAUUGGGUUUAAAGGGAGCGUAGGUGGAUUGGUAAGUCAGUUGUGAAAGUUUGCGGCUCAACCGUAAAAUUGCAGUUGAAACUGGAAGUCUUGAGUACAGUAGAGGUGGGCGGAAUUCGUGGUGUAGCGGUGAAAUGCUUAGAUAUCACGAAGAACUCCGAUUGCGAAGGCAGCUCACUGGACUGCAACUGACACUGAGGCUCGAAAGUGUGGGUAUCAAACAGGAUUAGAUACCCCAGUAGUC
rnacentral:rRNA from 1 species